GCGGCUGAUCGCCCCCUCACGCCCCACCUCCCCGCUCCUCGGAGGGGCGGCCGGCCUGCCUCCCCGCCGAGCCCCCCGCAGGACUCAGAAGCAAAGGAAAGGAGGAUGGAUUUAGCAAAGGAGGAACAAUUCAUGUCAUUGGCCAUUUUUCAUAUGGACCUCCUGUACUGCCAGUGUGAGAGACUGCAAUCAGGCCCUGCAGUCAAGCUGCACAGAAAUGCUCACUAGUUCAACAGAAAGCUGUGUUUGUAUGUGUAAGGACAGCAGAAUGAAGUCAGCAAUUCAAGCUGUAAAUAUAUUUGUCAUACAGUGAGUUCACAGUAGAAAAGGAGUAAACAGGUGAACAGCUGAGAUCUGACUGUGGAUGCAAGACUGAGACCCUAGCAUGGUACUGAUGUGAAGCAAAAUCCAAGAAAAAAUGAAGUGGUAAGGGGAAAUUUAUUUUCAAUCCAUGAAUACUUAGUGUGCAAAAGACUUCAGAAAGAAUCAGUGACUUGUAGUGAAUAACUCUUCUCUUAUAGUCUCCUUUGGGUAUAACACAGGUAACUGUCCUUAAAAUCAUUGACAUUCAACGUAGUUGUGCAGAGAGGAGACAAUAAAUAAAGCAUUACUGAGCAUCAGAACCUGUAAUAAACACGAUCUAAUGGUCUGAGGGAAAGAGUGAAGAUGUUGAGAGCAUUCCAGUGUGCUCCCGACAUGAUUUGAGAAAACUAUAGAAUAAUUUCUGGAAUAAACUGUAACAUAAAAAGCUUGGACUCAGCCUGUGAAAUCCUCAGGAAAGUAUUUUAUCCUUGUGGUUGUGCUUGCAAGAGAAAAACUCAUCUUGCAGAUGGUGGAAGAGGUCAUGUGUGUGUGUGUAAGCAGCAAGCAUUCUGUUCACUAUAUGUUCACUAAGCUUUUCUGAAAGCACCAUUUCCAGGGGAAAUCUCUGUUGUAAUGAAAUUGCCUUCUCCAAGCCUGUCUGCCAGCUCUUUACAAAUCCUUUCCAUGUUGAUGUGCUUAAGCCCUCUGCUUUUGAUGGUCUUUUCCCUGUUGUAUUCAUGCAUAUUAUUUGUGCUUUGGUUCAUACUGAUCUGUAGCAGAUGGGGAAGUGGAGAGCAGAAGUUUUACCCCCUUUAAGUGUCCCUGAAGGUCAAAAUAUCUGCCCUAGGCUUCACUACUUGGAAAAAAAUGCAGAUUUCAUGUGGCUUCUGAUGACAAUGUGCACAAGAAGGUGGUGCUGGACUGUGACUCUAUUCCAUUACAAAACAGCAGGUAACAGAAAACACUAGAUUUUGUAAAUAAACUGCCUUUGUCAUGUGACAGAAGAGGGCUGACUGGUCUCAAAAAGGAAACUUAAGAGCAGCACUUCUAACUGCUUUUACAAUCACAUUCCUGUAUCUCUUUAAUUGUCUUAUUAAAAUCCCCAGACUUCAUGAAUUCCGGUAGUUCUUUACUGUCUCCCUGCAAGAUCAUAUAGUCAUUUAACAGCACACUGCUUACUAAACAAAAGGGAAAACUUUACCCCUGCUUAAAAACCCUUAUGCAAACAAACUGUCUGAGGAUUGCUGUCCU